rnacentral:rRNA from 1 species
UGGCGGCGUGCCUAAUACAUGCAAGUCGAGCGGACGAUUCAAAAGCUUGCUUUUGAAUCGUUAGCGGCGGACGGGUGAGUAACACGUGGGCAACCUGCCCUGUAGACGGGGAUAACACCGAGAAAUCGGUGCUAAUACCGGAUAACACGAAAGACCGCAUGGUUUUUCGUUGAAAGGCGGCGCAAGCUGUCGCUACAGGAUGGGCCCGCGGCGCAUUAGCUAGUUGGUGAGGUAACGGCUCACCAAGGCGACGAUGCGUAGCCGACCUGAGAGGGUGAUCGGCCACACUGGGACUGAGACACGGCCCAGACUCCUACGGGAGGCAGCAGUAGGGAAUCUUCCGCAAUGGACGAAAGUCUGACGGAGCAACGCCGCGUGAGCGAAGAAGGCCUUCGGGUCGUAAAGCUCUGUUGUUAGGGAAGAACAAGUACCGCAGUCACUGGUGGUACCUUGACGGUACCUAACGAGAAAGCCACGGCUAACUACGUGCCAGCAGCCGCGGUAAUACGUAGGUGGCAAGCGUUGUCCGGAAUUAUUGGGCGUAAAGCGCGCGCAGGCGGUUCCUUAAGUCUGAUGUGAAAGCCCACGGCUCAACCGUGGAGGGUCAUUGGAAACUGGGGGACUUGAGUGCAGAAGAGGAGAGCGGAAUUCCACGUGUAGCGGUGAAAUGCGUAGAGAUGUGGAGGAACACCAGUGGCGAAGGCGGCUCUCUGGUCUGUAACUGACGCUGAGGCGCGAAAGCGUGGGGAGC